rnacentral:rRNA from 1 species
UACGUAGGCAGCGAGCGUUUGUUCGGAAUUACUGGGCGUAAAGAGUGUGUAGGCGGUGCUCUAAGUUCGGUGUGAAAUCUCCUGCUUAACUGGGAGGGUGCGCCGGAAACUGGAGUGCUCGAACGUGGGAGAGGGAUGCGGAAUUCCAGGUGUAGCGGUGAAAUGCGUAGAUAUCUGGAGGAACACCGGUGGCGAAGGCGGCAUCCUGGACCGGCAUUGACGCUGAGGAGCGAAAAGCCAGGGGAGCAAACGGG